AGUGAACGCUGGCGGUAGGCCUAACACAUGCAAGUCGAACGGCCGCACAGUAAGCGCUUGCUCCUACGGGUGGCGAGUGGCGGACGGGUGAGGCAUACAUCGGAAUCUUCUUUUUCGUGGGGGAUAACGUAGGACCACUUACGCUAAUACCUCAUACUACCUACGGGUGAAAUCAGGGGUUCUUCGCACCUUUCCCGUUUCAAUUAGCUGAUGUCGCAUUAGCUAGUUGGCGGGGUAAAGGACCACCAAGGCGACGCUCCGUAGCUGGUCUGAGAGGAUGAUCAGCCACACUGGAACUGAGACACGGUCCAGACUCCUACGGGAGGCAGCAGUAGGGAAUAUUGGGCAAUGGGCGCAAGCCUGAUCGAGCAAUGCCGCGUGGGUGAAGAAGGCCUUCGGAUUGUAAAACCCUGUUGUUAGGAAAGAAAAGAAGCAGGAGAAAACCCGGCUGUUUUGACGGUACCCAAACAGUAAGCAACGGCUAACUUCGUG
rnacentral:rRNA from 1 species